rnacentral:rRNA from 1 species
GCAAGUCGAGCGCGGGAAGCGAGUGGAUCCCUUCGGGGUGACGCUCGUGGAACGAGCGGCGGACGGGUGAGUAACACGUGGGCAACCUGCCUGUAAGAUCGGAAUAACCCCGGGAAACCGGGGCUAAUGCCGGGUAAUACUUUCUUUCGCAUGAAGGAAAGUUGAAAGAUGGCUUCUCGCUAUCACUUACAGAUGGGCCCGCGGCGCAUUAGCUAGUUGGUGAGGUAACGGCUCACCAAGGCGACGAUGCGUAGCCGACCUGAGAGGGUGAUCGGCCACACUGGGACUGAGACACGGCCCAGACUCCUACGGGAGGCAGCAGUAGGGAAUCUUCCGCAAUGGACGAAAGUCUGACGGAGCAACGCCGCGUGAACGAUGAAGGUCUUCGGAUCGUAAAGUUCUGUUGUUAGGGAAGAACAAGUACCGUGCGAAUAGAGCGGUACCUUGACGGUACCUAACGAGGAAGCCCCGGCUAACUACGUGCCAGCAGCCGCGGUAAUACGUAGGGGGCAAGCGUUGUCCGGAAUUAUUGGGCGUAAAGCGCGCGCAGGCGGUUCCUUAAGUCUGAUGUGAAAGCCCACGGCUCAACCGUGGAGGGUCAUUGGAAACUGGGGAACUUGAGGACAGAAGAGGAGAGUGGAAUUCCACGUGUAGCGGUGAAAUGCGUAGAUAUGUGGAGGAACACCAGUGGCGAAGGCGACUCUCUGGUCUGUUUCUGACGCUGAGG